rnacentral:pre_miRNA from 1 species
AUACUACUCCCUCCGUCCGGAAAUACUCGUCGGAGGAAUGGAUGUAUCUAGAUGUAUUUUAGUUUUAGAUGCAUUCAUUUUUAUGCAUUUCUUCGACAAGUAUUUCCGGACGGAGGAAGUACAAU